rnacentral:misc_RNA from 1 species
GAUAAUACAUAAUUCUAUUAACUGCAAUUUUAGUUCUGACAAGACAAAAAGCAAUGAAGAACCGCUGAAGAAUGCAAUAGAAGAAAUUCAAGUUUCAGCUUCCAUACACAUAAGCUAAAAAGAAUCACCUACACCAGUACACCCUUGAAAUAUAGAUCAUUCUUUACCUACUCUUCUUUACCCCUUUUUUUGUUUUCAGACAGCAUCAUUCUACUGCUUUUUAGUUAAGAAAUCAUGUAUCCAUGAACAGAUUUGACCUAAUAGACUAUCUGUUAUUGCCCAUACACAGUGACAAUAGUCUACAAACACGACUGACCGUGAUUUGAUCUCUGCUACUAACUCAGACACAGUGGAAUCACUGCAUGCUGAAUCUGAUAUUUCUGCCGUAAUAUCAGAUUUAGAAGCUCUAUUUGUGACCCCGCUUGGUCACUCAUUAGUGACAACUUAUCAUUUAUCAAGGAAGCCAAAAUACACAAAUACCUAUAACUAGAAAAUGAAGCAAGCAGAUACAAGUAGCAACUGGUAAAAGGAUUUCACUAAUAACAGAGCAAGGAUAUGUUAGUAACAAGUCAACCAUUCCAGGUUCCUCCGCCAAUGCUUGCAGCUCAUCAACAUCACCUUGAUUAUACGUUCCAAAAUGUUGACUGUCCGAUGACCGCCUA